rnacentral:rRNA from 1 species
UACACUCCUGCGGGAGGCAGCAGUGGGGAAUUUUGGACAAUGGGCGAAAGCCUGAUCCAGCAAUGCCGCGUGAGUGAAGAAGGCCUUCGGGUUGUAAAGCUCUUUUGUCAGGGAAGAAACGGUGAAAGCUAAUAUCUUUUGCUAAUGACGGUACCUGAAGAAUAAGCACCGGCUAACUACGUCCCAGCAGCCGCGGUAAUACGUAGGGUGCAAGCGUUAAUCGGAAUUACUGGGCGUAAAGCGUGCGCAGGCGGUUUUGUAAGUCUGAUGUGAAAUCCCCGGGCUCAACCUGGGAAUUGCAUUGGAGACUGCAAGGCUAGAAUCUGGCAGAGGGGGGUAGAAUUCCACGUGUAGCAGUGAAAUGCGUAGAUAUGUGGAGGAACACCGAUGGCGAAGGCAGCCCCCUGGGUCAAGAUUGACGCUCAUGCACGAGAGCGUGGGGAGCAAACAGGAUUAGAAACCCUAGUAGUCCCAU